rnacentral:misc_RNA from 1 species
AAAAUCUGGUCAUGUGCGAUGUCUGCUCUUCGGUGAAAUUGUGCAAAACAUUGUGAAAGGACAGUCUUUCGGGACACGAUCGACAUGUGAAGAGUAUUUUGACAACACAUAAUGCACGACGCUUAUGAGGCAGCUCCAAUUCUGGAGAAACUCCCUCUCCAAAUUGAAUCCAUAGCAUGUUAUGAUGAUAUUUUGCUGGUUGGAACAAAGCAAGGGCACCUGCUGCAGUACAAGAUCAAAAGAAGUACAAGGGUGCAAGAAAAGAAAUUUGAGGUUACCUUGGAGAGAUCAAACAAAUCCUUUUCCAAGAAACCAAUCACACAGUUGACUGCUGUUCCUGACCACUACAUUCUGAUAAGUCUCUCUGAUAAUGUCAUCAGCGUACACGACCUGCAGUCGUUUGGCCUCGUCACCUGCGUCACUAAGACGAAGGGCGCUACGCUGUUUGCCGCAGAUGUACAGAAAAAUUCCUCCAUCACUGGUGGGGCACAGACCACUCUCAGGAUAGGUGUGUCCUCCAAGAGAAGGGUGCAGUUGUUUUACUGGAAAAACAGAGACUUCCAUGAAUUGUUGGCAGACCUGAGUCUGUACGAUAUUCCGCGAGCAAUGGCUUGGUGUAAGGAAUCUCUAUGUGUGGGAUUCCGCAGAGAGUACUACAUGAUCAGCGUUAAAAAUGGUGAGCUGACGGAACUGUUCCCUGUUGGGAGCCGCCAGGUGGAGCCCAUUGUCACCAAACUAGCCAAUGACCGUCUGGCACUUGGUCGAGAUGAAAUGUCCAUUUUGAUAGAUGGCGAGGGCAAACCUGCUCGGAAGGAGCCGGUCAAGUGGUCAGACAUUCCCAUAGCUAUAGAAAAUAAUGCACCCUAUGUGUUAGCCAUCUUACCCAAGUAUGUAGAAGUCCGAACUAUUGAACCUAACCUGAACAUCCAGAGUAUAGAGCUCUCCAAGCCAAGACUGGUGUGUCAGGGGAGCAACACUGUGUAUGUAGCUUCAUCCAACUUUGUGUGGAGACUGGCCCCAAUGCCCAUUUCUCACCAGAUUAAACAGCUGCUGCACGGGAAGGAGUUCAAACUGGCUCUACACUUAGCCGAAAUGCAAGAUGAACCUGACUCCGAGAAGGAGAAGAGGAUCAGAAGCAUCAACAACCUGUAUGCCUUUGAUCUGUUCUGUCAGCACAAGUUUGAGGAAUCCAUGAAGAUAUUUGACUCCCUCGGGACAGAUCCAUCUCAUGUCAUAGGGUUGUACCCCAACCUGCUUCCCCAGGACUUCCGGAACCAGCUGGAGUAUCCGGACCGACUGCCGGACCUGGAGGGCGGAGAGCUGGAGAAGGGAAUGCUUGCACUCAUCGACUAUCUCACUGAGAAGAGAAACCAGCUACUGAAGGACCUGAACAAGGACAUGGCAACAACGGCCAUUGUGGAGGGCAACGUCACCAUCCGCUCCAAGAAGCAGCUGAGCCAGAUCAUAGACACAACUCUCCUGAAAUGUUACCUCCAGACAAAUGAUGCGCUUGUGGCACCGCUGCUGAGACUGAAGGACAACAACUGCCACGUGGAGGAGAGCGAGCGGGUGCUCAAGAAGAAGGAGAAGUUCAGUGAGCUCAUCAUCCUGUAUGAGAAGAAAAAUCUCAAUCAAAAAGCCCUGAACCUGUUGAUGAAGCAGGCAGCACGUCCAGACUCUCCAUUGAAAGGUCACGACCGGACAGUCCAGUAUCUACAGCAUCUGGGUGCUGAGCAUCUGGCUCUGAUAUUUGAGUACUCCGAGUGGGUACUGAGGAAACACCCGGAGGAUGGGCUGAAGAUAUUUACUGAAGAUACACCUGAGAUUGAAAGUCUUCCAAGAGAUGAGGUGCUAGAGUUUCUAGAGAGGAUGUCAAAAGAUCUGGCUAUACCAUAUCUUGAACACAUUAUUUCUCAAUGUGAUGAUGAGACGCCAGAAUUUCACAACCGCUUAGUGCACCUGUACCGAGAGAAGAUCCAGGUGCUAUCUGAGGACUAUGUUGAGUCUCUACCUGAAGCAGGAGAUCGUCUUGACAAAUCGAAAAACGAACCGGUGGAGUUGGAGGAGUACAGGGUGAAGCUGGUGGUGUUCCUGCAGACGUCCCAGCACUACGUCCCUGAGAUGCUGCUGGCAAGGUUCCCGCUGGAUAACUUCUAUGAGAGAGAGCAAUCCUACUGGGUCGGCUGGGAAGACAUGAGCAGGCUCUUGGCAUCUACAUCCACAUCUUGAAAGAUCCCCGUCUGGCUGAAGUGUAUUGUCGGACACAUUUUGAUAAAGAUAAGGAAGGGAACAAAGACGUGUAUGUGUGUCUGCUGAAGAUGUAUCUCCAGCCUCCGGAACCCUCCACACUCGGGAUGGCUCCUGAUGGGCAUGUCAGCAC